rnacentral:tRNA from 1 species
GGGCGGCUGGUCCAGUGGUAGGAUGUUGCAAGCCCUUGUUGUCACUGCCUCACCCGUGAAGUAGUUCUUGACUUGCAGAGGUCAAGGUUCGAAUCCUUGGUUGUCCA